AGCGGCGCACGGGUGAGUAACACGUGGGUAAUCUACCUUCAGGUUUGGAAUAACCCGGGGAAACUCGGACUAAUGCCGACUAAUACCACGUUUUUAAAAUUUCGUGGGAAAAGUGGGGGACCUUUUCGGAGGCCUCACGCCUGAGGAUGAGCCCGCGGCCCAUCAGCUUGUUGGCAAGGUAACGGCCUACCAAGGCAAAGACGGGUAGCUGGUCUGAGAGGAUGAUCAGCCACACUGGAACUGAGACACGGUCCAG
rnacentral:rRNA from 1 species